CGUCACUUGUCGACUCUCCAACAACAACAACAACAACAAUCGGACAGCUCACCCGGGACAUCCGCGCAACUUCUCUCUCGUUAUCGCCGCCCCUAAGCCCCAAUUGUUACAUGCCACAUCACCCAAUAAAUUCCCGUAAAAAAGGAAUUCACUGACGUGGCAACUGCAGGGACCGCCAUGAUUAUUGUGUGUCGCAGAGGAUUGUUGCUCAUCUCUCACAUGAUUGAACCUGUUGAUUGAUUAAAUUCUGGCUUGGCUUUCUUUUCACACAACCUCUCCCACAGAGAAGACUGUUAAAGACUGGG
rnacentral:misc_RNA from 1 species